UACGUAGGUGGCUAGCGUUGUUCGGAAUUACUGGGCGUAAAGCGCACGUAGGCGGGUUGUUAAGUCAGGGGUGAAAUCCCGGAGCUCAACUCCGGAACUGCCUUUGAUACUGGCAAUCUAGAGACUGGAAGAGGUUAGUGGAAUUCCCAGUGUAGAGGUGAAAUUCGUAGAUAUUGGGAAGAACACCAGUGGCGAAGGCGGCUAACUGGUCCAGUACUGACGCUGAGGUGCGAAAGCGUGGGGAGCAAACAGG
rnacentral:rRNA from 1 species